rnacentral:rRNA from 1 species
CCUACGGGAGGCAGCAGUGGGGAAUAUUGCACAAUGGGCGAGAGCCUGAUGCAGCAAAGCCGCGUGAGCGAUGAAGGCCUUCGGGUCGUAAAGCUCUGUCCUCAAGGAAGAUAAUGACGGUACUUGAGGAGGUAGCCGCGGCUAACUACGUGCAAGCAGCCGCGGUAAUACGUAGGGGGCUAGCGUUAUCCGGAGUUACUGGGCGUAAUGGGUGCGUAGGUGGUUUCUUAGGUCAGAGGUGAAAGGCUACGGUUCAACCGGAGUAAGCCUUUGAAACUGGGGAACUUGAGUGCAGGAGAGGAGAGUGGAAUUCGUAGUGUAGCGGUGAAAUGCGUAGAUAGUACGAGGAACACCAGUUGCGAAGGCGGCUCUCUGGACUGUAACUGACACUGAGGCACGAAAGCGUGGGGAGCAAACAGGAUUAGAUACCCCUGUAGUC